rnacentral:rRNA from 1 species
UACGGGAGGCAGCAGUAAGGAAUAUUGGACAAUGGACGAAAGUCUGAUCCAGCCAUGCCGCGUGCAGGAUGGCAGCCCUACGGGUUGUAAACUGCUUUUAUACAGGAAGAAACACUCCGACGUGUCGGAGCUUGACGGUACUGUAAGAAUAAGGAUCGGCUAACUCCGUGCCAGCAGC